CGAGGGCACAGGGACGUGCAGGGGCAGCUCCGGCACCCAGCUGCCUCGGUCCCCCCACGCAGGAGCUGCCUGGCCGCCCGUGACCCCUACUGCGUCUGGCUGCCCCCCAGGGGCUGCGUCCCCUUCUCCGAGGACCUUCCGUAAGUGUCCCCCGCAGUGGCCUUCCCUGGGGGUUACCCCCCCCCCCCAGUCUCCUGGGUCCCUUCCUCGUGGGGUGGGGACACAGGAUGGUGGGUGACAUUCCACCCGUGUCCCCCAGGAGUGGCUUCGAGCAGGACGUAGAGGGAUCCCCCGGGAUCACUGGGACUUGCCAAGAUGCACCGGCUGCGGGGGACGGUGACGGGGACUUGGCCCAUGGGGUGCGUCAGGCCGAGCCGGGGGCUGCAGCGACGGUGCCGGUGCCAGUGCUGGUGGGCUGCGUGCUGGGUGCCUUCACCCUGGGUGCCCUGGCCGCUGGGCUGCUGGCGGCCUGCUACCGUCGCCCUGCUGUCCCCAAGAGACCCCCGGAGUCCCCCGCCACCCCACGGCCCCUGGCCCAGCCACCUGCCCCCUGCCUCUACCCCCCGCUGCCGCCCCAGGGAGGGGCUGGAGGCCUGCGGGACGCCCCCGAGCUUCCCACCCCUGAGGCCACCCCGCAGCCACCCACCAAGAUGCCCCAGGAGCGGGUGGCAGAACACCAACGCGGCCAGGCCACCUAUCUCGGCACCCCAGGUUGCCCGGAGCCCCCUGGCCCGGGACCCCCACCCAAGGCCACCCUGGAGGAGCUGCUGCAGCGGCUGCACGGGACGGGGGGCUCGGGGUGGCCGGUGACACCCCCGGCCGCCAGCUCCUUUGCCAACCGGGUACAGCCGGGCGCCCCGUUCCCCAGCCUCCCCCCGGCUCCCCAUAACGGGGCACCCCGGCGGCUGGACGUGCCCCCCGACAGCCCCCCGCCACCCAGGCGACCCCUGGCACAAAGACACUCGCUGGGCGGGACGCCCGCGAGACCACCCGGCCUGGCCCGGGGGCUUACCCGCAUGCACUCACUAGGGGCACCGGGGGGGCCACCCUGGGGCCCCCGGCCCAGCACCCUGGAGCGCUCCCUCUCCAUGAAGCCCCCCAUGCUGCCCAAGCCCCUGCUGGUGCCGGCAGCCCCCGGGCAGCCCUGAGCCCCCCACCGGGGACACGGGGACACCCCUGCUGCAGCUGGCACGGGGGGCCCGAGCCAUCCUCCACCCUGGGUGGCAAGGUCCCCCCUUCCCUGGCUCCAUGCCCUGAGCCACGAGGGUCCCCAUAUCCCCAAACUGCCCCCAUCUCUCUCCCUUGGGUGGUGAGGGUCCCAUGUGCCCCUCCAACCCUGCCCUGUCUCCCUGCCCAGGGUGACAGGAUCCCCCAGCUCCCAGGGCUUUUUCAUUUUUUGAUCCUUUCUAAUUUAUUCGCUGCUUUGGGGGUCAUUGGAGGUGCCGUUGCCCACCCUGAUGGCGACAGCCCCCCCCGCCCCGGGGACACCAGGAAGGGUGUCGGACACAGCAGCUCUCCGCACCAGAGCUUGGUUCAUCCUACCGUGUAGGACCAGGGCUCGGCCCUGUGCCAGCCGCGGCAAUUAAAUACAUGGUCGCUCCU
rnacentral:lncRNA from 1 species